GCGGGACGAACGCCGCGGGCGGAGCCUGCUUAACUCCCUGCGGGGUUAUUUUCUGCCACUUCUAAGUUGCAGCCCCCAGGCUCCGUCUUCUCCUGCGUGGCGCUGGAGAAACACCCGAAAGAGAGAGUCCUAGAAUGUCUGCUGUGGCCCUGCCACCUUCCAGGACUUCCAGGACUCUAGCCCUGGCUCCUUCUAACCUUCCCGCCCCUCAGUGCCCCAGGGAGGCUGCUGUGCCAACAAUUAUUGAUCAGCCGGAAGAAAAGGAGGUGCCAGUGUCCCAUGGAUGUGGGAAUCCACAGCACUGACUGCGCUCCUAAGGCUCGCUGGAGUGCUGUCGUGCGAUCUCGGCUCACUGCAACCUCCGCCUCCCGGGUUCAAGCGGUUUUCGUGCCUCGGCCUCCCGAGGAGCUGGAUCUACGGACCUCCUCCUCAGAUGUGGACCGUACAGAUGAUGCUCCAUCGGUUACUCUGAUCCUGGCUUUGGGACUGCCAGAUAAAACUGGGAGAAACCCUACAUUUACUCUUACUGUAACGUAUUGGCUUGAAACUGCAGCAUAUUCACCAUGAAGACAUGAGGAUGAAGACCUUUAUGAUGCUCCACUUCCACUUAAUGAAUAAAUUGGGCACAAUGAUAUUAAAAUGAAACGAAAGAACACAAGUUCAAGAAGAGCCAAAAUACCAUUGAAAAUAAAGAGGAAGUUGGGGAAUUUUCUGGCUACAUGAGAAGAUAUAUACACCACUGGAUUUAAGACCAUGUGCUAUUAUUGGUGAGAGGGGAAGUAGACGACUGGGCCAAUAGAAUAGAAUGGAAAGAGCGUCAGGACCCCUUGUAUAUGAAGAAUGGUCAUUAAAGACCAGUGGGUAAAGGACGUAUAAUUCAGUAAGUUUGAAUUUAUGACACUGGAUUAAUGGAUAUAUAUACAUCGUAAUAAAUUCCAGAUGAACUAAGGACCAACAUAGUGAAGGCAAAACUGUAAAACUUUUAAAUGAAAAUGUGAAAGAAAUAUUUGUAUGACUUCAAAGUAGAAAAAUAUUUAUUAAAAAGAUACACAUUUUAAAAACAAAAAUCUAUAGGAAAAGAUGAAUAAAUUUGACCACAUUAAAAUUAGAAACUUUUAUCAAAAUAUACUCUAAAGAAAAAAAAGCCACAAACUAAACUUAUAUCACACAUAAUUUACAUAGGAUCAAUAUCCAGAACAUCUAAGAAUAGCCCCAGAAGAAAAUGAUCAAAAGAUGUGAAAGGGCAGUUCACAAAAAGGGAUAUAUAAAUGACCAAUAAAUAUACAAAAGUUAAGCUCACUCACAAUAGUUAUCAGAGAAUUGUGAAUUAGAACAGUCCUUGAAAUAACAUUUUAAAAUCACUAAAUAGACAAACAUUGAAAAGUCUAACAUUAUCAAAAAUCGAUGAGGAUAUAGGGUGAGGGAAACUCAUACUCUGAUGGUGGACUUCCAACUGAAAUAAUCUGCUUGGAAAAAAAAUUAGCAUUUUUUAAAGUUGAAGCUGAGUAUAUCCUAAAGCACAGCAGCUCUACCCUUAAGUAUAUAUGCAUCUUAGGGAAAUUAUUGAAUAAGGCACCAAGAGCAAUGUGCAGGAAAAGUCACGAGAGCAUUCUUUGUAAUUGCAAAAAGCUGGAAACAACUCAGUGUCCAUUUGCAGGUAAACUGAUGCACAGAUUUUGGCAUAAUAAUGUGGAAUUCUAUGCAACAUCAAGAUCAGUGGAAUACAGAUACAGUAAUAAACUUGCAUAAUUCUUAAAAUCAUGUUGAAUGAAGAAAACAAGUAACAGAAAAAUAGAUUGUGAUAUUAAUUAUAAUGUUAAUUUGUUGUCAGAAACAAAGACAAUAUUUACUAGGAUGAAAGCAAGAUAAUGAUCAACUCCAAAUUUGGAAUAAUAGUUGCAUUUUGCAGAGAGGAAGGGAGAUUCUAAGGGAAGACAAACACAGGAAACUUUAAUGUUAAGGGUAGAUAUAUAUGCAUUUGUAAUGCCCAUUUAUGUCACUGCAUUAAAUCUAAUUUUUUCUGCUUCUCAGUGAA
ensembl:lncRNA